rnacentral:rRNA from 1 species
GACGAACCGCGCGAACGUUGUUCGGAAUCACUGGGCUUAAAGGGCGCGUAGGCGGGUGACUAAGUCUGUGGUGAAAUCCGGCAGCUUAACUGUCGAAUUGCCAUGGAUACUGGUUGUCUCGAGGGAGGCAGGGGUGCGCGGAACUAAUGGUGGAGCGGUGAAAUGCGUUGAUAUCAUUAGGAACUCCGGUGGCGAAGGCAGCGCACUGGUCCUCUUCUGACGCUGAGGCGCGAAAGCCAGGGGAGCAAACGGG